rnacentral:tRNA from 1 species
GAGGGUGUAGCGAAGCUGGUUAUCGCGACGGCCUGUCACGCCGUAGAUCGCGGGUUCGAGUCCCGUCACUCUCGC